UACGAGGGGGGCAAGCGUUGUUCGGAAUUACUGGGCGUAAAGCGUGCGUAGACGGUAGCGUAAGUCAGAUGUGAAAGCCCCGGGCUCAACCUGGGAAUUGCAUUUGAGACUGCUCUGCUCGGGUGCGGAAGAGGGAAGCGGAAUUUCCGGUGUAGCGGUGAAAUGCGUAGAUAUCGGAAGGAACACCAGUGGCGAAAGCGGCUUCCUGGUCCGACACCGACGUUCAGGCACGAAAGCGUGGGUAGCAAACAGG
rnacentral:rRNA from 1 species